AUGUAUUUAAGUAUAAGUUAGUACAUAAAAAUUUGAAUUUUAAAGUUUAAAUACAAAAAAGAAAUUAGUAUACAUU
rnacentral:tRNA from 1 species